AGUGAACGCUGGCGGCAGGCCUAACACAUGCAAGUCGAACGGCAGCACGGCAGUAGCAAUACUGUGGGUGGCGAGUGGCGGACGGGUGAGGAAUACAUCGGGAUCUACCCUGUUGUGGGGGAUAACGUAGGGAAACUUACGCUAAUACCGCAUAAGAACUGAGGUUGAAAGCGGCGGACCGCAAGGCGUCGCGCGAUUGGAUGAACCGAUGUCCGAUUAGCUAGUUGGCGGGGUAAAGGCCCACCAAGGCGACGAUCGGUAGCUGGUCUGAGAGGACGACCAGCCACACUGGAACUGAGACACGGUCCAGACUCCUACGGGAGGCAGCAGUGGGGAAUAUUGGACAAUGGGCGCAAGCCUGAUCCAGCCAUGCCGCGUGGGUGAAGAAGGCCUCGGGUUGGUUAAAGACCCGUUUUUACGUU
rnacentral:rRNA from 1 species